AGAGAUGUGUGAUGACGCAUAUCAAUAAGCGGAGGAAAAGAAACUAACAAGGAUUCCCUUAGUAACGGCGAGUGAAGCGGGAAGAGCUCAAAUUUGAAAUCUUCAAGGUUCUACCUUGACGAAUUGUAGUUUAUAGAAGUGUUUUCUGUUAGUGGAGUGGCAAAAGUUCUUUGGAAUAGGACAUCAUAGAGGGUGAGAAUCCCGUAUUUGGUCAUUCCUCCUAGCGUUGUGAUACACUUUCAACGAGUCGGAUUGUUUGGGAAUGCAGUCCAAAAUGGGUGGUAAAUUUCAUCUAAAGCUAAAUAUUGGCGAGAGACCGAUAGCGAACAAGUACCGUGAGGGAAAGAUGAAAAGAACUUUGAAAAGAGAGUUAAACAGUACGUGAAAUUGUCAAAAGGGAAGCGUUUGACACCAGUGUUGUUUUUCCGAAAAUCAAUUACGAAUGUUUUGUUUUUGAGGAGUUAUGACCUCAUCGGCUUGCUCCUUUCUUUACGAAACUUUCUUAAUGCACUUUUCGGUUAACAAGUCAACAUCAAUUUCUUUUGUUGUAAAAGGGUAUGAGGAAGGUGGCUUUCUUUUCGGAGAAAGUGUUUAUAGCCUUGUACCUCUGCAAUCGGAGAGAUUGAGGUCUGCAGCGUAGAUCCUUCGGGGUUAGAUACAUUUGUGCUAAGUUAUAGCUUUUCAUAGACAACUUGUUGACUAUGUUUAGUCUUGUAGCUUACUCGCUUAUGCUAUUUUACCUACGCUUAGGAUGUUGAAGUCAUCGUAUCGCGC
rnacentral:rRNA from 1 species